UUUUGUGGGUGGGGAAUUGCAAUCUGUCUCCACAUGCUUAAUUAAACUAAUCAAGCCUUCCCCCUCCCCUUCUGCUUCCCUGCCAAUAAAAGCAGUGGCUCCACAAACCCCAGCAGUGACGUCCAGCAGAAGCUCUGAUCCAUCCCAGCCUGCCAAGGGAUGCCUUGAGAUGUUCUGCAGUGCCUGGUUGUCACCAUGGGAUGCUCUCCAGCAUGAGGAAGCAAGCCGAGGCUGCCGAAGGACUUGUCACGGCGUGGAAGCUGAGGAGCAGCAAUCCACCAAUUCAUGGUGU